CAGAAACCAAAACAAAUUAAAUUUUUAGUUUGUUGGCUGCCUCUUAAGGCGGGGAGACCCAUCGUGCCUAUAAUGACAAGGGAAACUCCGACACACAUACACAUGCUGAGAGCAGCUGUAAAGAAGACUCAGUGUGAUCCGUAGGGAGUCCACAGCUCGCAGAGUUAAUGAACUAAGAGCUGGUGGCACAGAGGCAGCUUGGACAGAGAGGUGGAAGGAUGGAGGGAAGCAGAGGGAGGGCAGUGUUGUGGAAGCCUGGCUUAAGGGUGUUUCCAUGGUAGGAUUGCCCAGGAAUCUGAUGCUGGUGCCAGACGCGGGGAAACCCUCAUCAAAAACAAGGGUUGCACACCCAUCAUCACCAGUCCAGAGCCUGCAAAUGGCCCUAAAGACAGUCAGAUUAAGAGCUCAAAUAGAACCAGAGCAGCUACUGACCCAAACAAGAGUGUUAAGUUGUAUAUCCGGUCAUUUCUUUCUCUUUGUUGCUAUAAAACAAAUUGUCCAAUUCCUUGUCUUUUAGACUGGCGUUUUAGUUCAAUUUGUGAUGGAGACAGAAGUGAACUCAUUGGUUGGGUUAAACUUUGUGGGGCAGAGCUAAAGAACUAGAGUUAUUGUGAAUAAGUCAGGCCGGGUUGGACUUGGAGUCUUGUGAAAAAGGCAACUGGUAUUAGAGGAUAAAAUAAUUAAGCAUGAAAGUUUAUUCUUGACCUUGAAAAAAGCAGUUUGACAAAAAGGAAUCUAAACUUAAAGUCCACUUAUUAGUUUUUCUGUCACUUUCAUGGCAUCUCAUUGUCUUCCUCAGCAUAUGGAGUUUCAAUUAUUAUUAUUAUUAUAUGAUCGAAAUUAUUAUUACAAGAUUCAUUUUUCAGAACUUUUGAAAUGAAGGCUUGUCAAAUGAAGAGAGGAAAUGACAUUUAUCUUUGUUGAGAUUAAUUCUAUGGAUACACUUCCUUUACUAUGAUUUACUGGAGAUUACUAAUGGAAGGACGUUCAAUUCUAUAUUUUGAAUAUUUUAAAAUGUUUAAAUUCCUUUUUACUGAUUUGAGGAUACUCAUGUAUCAUGUAACUGAGUAGUAAAGUGAUGCACCCCCACAAAACAAUGUAUCAACUUUAUACUUUGCUUUGACCUGAAGUUAUUUUUAAUGCUCGGUAAAGCAACCAAAUAACAGCUAGCUUUACAUUAAUAUAAAAAUAGUGAUCAAACUGAAAAAGCUACAAAAGUAUUCUUAAUUCCCCAGAUUAGUUAGCCUAGCAUAACGUCAAAGUUCAAACUUCCCUGAUAAGCUAAUGAGCUAGCUUCCAAGUUUUAACAAACACAGAAAUCAUUUCCAAGUUUUUAUUUUUAUCCAGAGCUCCAUCUUUGCUUGCUGGCUAACUCAUUCUCCAAAAAGGUGUGUUUCUUUGUCUGUUUAUUGAGGUUUAGUCCAACCAGUGACAUUAUUGUUGUCUCCAGAGCGACACUGAUCUGCCCUCCUCUCUCAGGAAGAGAUCAGGGUUAAUCAAAGAGAUUGGGAAGAGGGGAACAAUGGAACUACUCCAUUGUACAGUGCUGGGGGGGGGGGGGCAGCCUUGAAUUCGUCCUUUCACAGGUGGAACAAUGAAAAGGUUUCCCUUUUUUUGAAUGAGUCAUAGGAUCACACGUGUUUACAUUGCUCAGCCUUGGCCCAAACUGUACCUCACGUUGCUUUGCUAAAGCUAAUCAAGGAAAUUGCUGUUUGUAAACCUCCUCGUAUCAACAUCUGGGAGCAGUCCCCUCUCCCUCCAAACCAAAACGGCUUAAAGUAAGAAAAAGAGAAACAAAUACUGAGGCAUGGCACACA